rnacentral:rRNA from 1 species
AACGUACGCUGGCGGCACGCCUAACACAUGCAAGUCGAACGAAGUAGCAAUACUUAGUGGCAGACGGGUGAGUAACAUGUGGGUAUNUACCCUUUGGCCUGGAAUAACACGAGGAAACUUGUGCUAAUACCGGAUAAGUCUUUACGGAGAAAGCUUUAUGCACCAUUGGAUGAGCCCGCACUUGAUUAGUUUGUUGGUAGGGUAAUGGCCUACCAAGACUAUGAUCAAUAGCUGAUUUGAGAGGAUGAUCAGCCACAUUGGGACUGAGACACGGCCCAAACUCCUACGGGAGGCAGCAGUGGGGAAUCUUGCACAAUGGAGGAAACUCUGAUGCAGCGAUGCCGCGUGAGUGAAGAAGGCCUUUGGGUUGUAAAGCUCUUUCGUCGGGGAAGAAAAUGACUGUACCCGAAUAAGAAGGUCCGGCUAACUUCGUGCCAGCAGCCGCGGUAAUACGAAGGGACCUAGCGUAGUUCGGAAUUACUGGGCUUAAAGAGUUCGUAGGUGGUUGAAAAAGUUGGUGGUGAAAUCCCAGAGCUUAACUCUGGAACUGCCAUCAAAACUUUUCAGCUAGAGUAUGAUAGAGGAAAGCAGAAUUUCUAGUGUAGAGGUGAAAUUCGUAGAUAUUAGAAAGAAUACCAAUUGCGAAGGCAGCUUUCUGGAUCAUUACU